rnacentral:rRNA from 1 species
GAUGAACGCUGGCGGCGUGCCUAAUACAUGCAAGUCGAGCGAAUGGAUUAAGAGCUUGCUCUUAUGAAGUUAGCGGCGGACGGGUGAGUAAUACGUGGGUAACCUGCCCAUAAGACUGGGAUAACUCCGGGAAACCGGGGCUAAUACCGGAUAACAUUUUGAACCGCAUGGUUCGAAAUCGAAAGGCGUGUUCUGCUGUCACUUAUGGAUGGACCCGCGUCGCAUUAGCUAGGUUGUGAGGUAACGGCUCACCAAGGCAACGAUGCGUAGCCGACCUGAGAGGGUGAUCGGCCACACUGGGACUGAGACACGGCCCAGACUCCUACGGGAGGCAGCAGUAGGGAAUCUUCCGCAAUGGACGAAAGUCUGACGGAGCAACGCCGCGUGAGUGAUGAAGGCUUUCGGGUCGUAAAACUCUGUUGUUAGGGAAGAACAAGUGCUAGUUGAAUAAGCUGGCACCUUGACGGUACCUAACCAGAAAGCCACGGCUAACUACGUGCCAGCCGCCGCAGUAA